UAACUGGGCGUAAAGGGCACGCAGGCGGUGACUUAAGUGAGGUGUGAAAGCCCCGGGCUUAGCCUGGGAAUUGCAUUUCAUACUGGGUCGCUAGAGUACUUUAGGGAGGGGUAGAAUUCCACGUGUAGCGGUGAAAUGCGUAGAGAUGUGGAGGAAUACCGAAGGCGAAGGCAGCCCCUUGGGAAUGUACUGACGCUCAUGUGCGAAAGCGUGGGGAGCAAACAGGAUUAGAUACCCUGGUAGUCCACGCUGUAAACGAUGUCGAUUUGGGGGUUGAGCUUUGAGCUUGGCGCCCGUAGCUAACGUGAUAAAUCGACCGCCUGGGGAGUACGGCCGCAAGGUUAAAACUCAAAUGAAUUGACGGGGGCCCGCACAAGCGGUGGAGCAUGUGGUUUAAUUCGAUGCAACGCGAAGAACCUUACCUACUCUUGACAUCCAGAGAACAUUCCAGAGAUGGAUUGGUGCCUUCGGGAACUCUGAGACAGGUGCUGCAUGGCUGUCGUCAGCUCGUGUCGUGAG
rnacentral:rRNA from 1 species